UACUGGUUCUGGAUCAGAAUUUCAAAAUGUAGCGCUAAACUUGUAUUGCAUUUGUCAAACUGGGUAAUAGGUUGUUUACUUAUCAAACUUGGCAUCAGAUAUGAAGCUAUGACAGCAACUACAUCAACACCUCUUGCACACUAUAAAAGAGCAGGCCGAAGACGCGUUUUGGCAUCAGAUGUGUCCAGCUUGUCUUCAAUUAGAGACCAUCGAAAGAAUGAAGUGAAUGAAGAUGUUGAAAUAGCAGACCGUGUGUUCGACAUUACUUCACAAGAAGAGGCAGAGAAAGAUGAUACAUGUAUAGAUGGAUCCAGCAUUCCAGUGAAAAGAACAGUAGACAGGGAUUAUAUAACCGAGAAGACAUUUAUUUGUUACAUGUCAUGUCUACUGGGUCUUGCAGCACUGUAGGUGAAGAAAGUGUGCACUCACAAAGACUGUACAAGUGAUGUCACAUUAAAAAGUCAGAUCGACAGUACAGCACUUGUCCUAAAAUGGAUUUGUGUAGAUGGCCACGAGAUGAACAGAUGGUGUUCACAACCUUUGCUGACAAAGGGUGCCUUGCGUGGCAAUAUGCUAUUUUUGUCAGCGAUAGUUCUUUCCGGAAAUAACUACACCAAAAUAGCCCUAAUAUGCAAGUUCCUCAAUUUAGGUGUCCAGCUCCACAUUUCACAGGAUUCAAAGUCACUAUAUCAUCCCAGCUAUCACAACAUAUUGGGAAGCUACACGUCGUCAUGUUAUUGAAACUAUUCAAGGGAAAGAUUUUUGUUUUUGUUGAAAUCCAUUCUUUUAUGAGCAAUGUCCUCAGUCCUGCUCCAAUUCAGAUCUCAUCAGAGUAAUUAAAUAUAUACUGUGGACCAACUUACUGCCAGAAUGGAACCAAAAGCAUUUGAAACCAUCAUGUGGAAUCUGUCGUCCCAAAGUGUACAAUGGAGGUUGUGACUGAUGCUCAUCCCUCAAUAUCCUCUAUAAUGAGUAUGUGAUUGAUCAGCAUGUCCAUUUGAAUUAUGUUGUGACAUUUGAACACAUUUGAACAAACCCUACUGACCUGGUAAAUAUUAUUGGUUUAGAAAGAGUUUACAGGGUAUAAAUGAUAUAAAUGAAAUGAAAUAACUAAUGACUGUGAUAAUAUAUUAUUAAGUAACCAAAUGUGUAUCUCAGGCCGACCAACUUUCCGGAAUUUUAAUCACGUACUCGGAAUUCCGGAAUUUAUGUCAAAUAUCGGGGGAGAAAAUUCAAAUCCACUCGAAUUGGGUGUUUUUUUUAAGUUACAGUAUUAUAACAUCAUGUACAAAUAUGAAAUACAAGCUCAAAUGCACUUUUAAAGAAAUCGUGUGUGUUCGCUAUGAGCGGAGAUCGUUUGCCGAUUUCAA